AACACCCACAAACAACGUCACGACGCAACGUGGUUAAACAGUACGUUUAUUAAAGUAACUGGGUGAACGACAUCGGAGCGGACUGCAAAUCGCAACGCUACUUUCUCGAAUGCAGAUACUCUUCGAGACGGCUAAACAACGUGUCCAACUCGCUGAGACCUUUCCGCGUGCCGUUAUCCGAUUUCCUUUCCGCCUCCUGAGACAGCCGACUAAUCACGGACUUAUCUCCGCAACCUAACAGAGGCUGGGAGCCCGACAAAAGUAAAACAGCGUGCUAUGAACACGUUGUUACCUCUGCGCGGACAGCGCCGCCACAGAGACACUUACGCAUUGCCGCAUGUCUUUGUAGAUGGAUUCUAGCGUCGAGCGCAUACUAUGCAAUUCCGUCUUAAGUCCAGGAUAGACGUGGUCGCCUGCGGGGAACACGAUCUCCAGAUACCGCCUCAACAACCAGUCCAUGACGCUGCAUCCCCAACAGCCUUUGACCACCGUACCGUCGAGCCACACGGAGUAGUCGUCCUCACGUUGCUACAAGAGGAAAACUACGUCACCCGACACGCGGAAAAGAAAGACCGUCGCAAUAAACCGUACCUACGUGACCUACCAACGUAGGUUUUACUCGAUGAAAGGUGACGCGGAGAUCUUGCAAUCUGGUCGCGUAAUCCUCCGGACGACACUGCGGCUUUGUAUUCUUUAUCGUCGUCGUCGUCGUCGCCGCCGGCUUCGCCUCCUCGGAAGCGCCUAGAAAAAAGACGAUCAGGACCAGAGAGGAAGAGACCAUCACCGACAGCAUCGCCGCAGCAUGCCGCCCCAGUCCGCCGCCCAACUGCGCGUCCCAGAUACCACUCGUAGACUGUCAGCCUCGCGAGGAGACACCGCGGACCGGGGAAACGGAUAAGUUUACGAACAGAAAUCUCAAGAGAAAGACGCUGACCCGAUAAGUACCGUCACGGAGACACGGUGGUUUUUAUUGAAUUUCCAGUGUAUCGAGCCACCGUGAUGCAGGUACGGUGGUUUUAUGUAAAGUGCCGCUAUCUAUAGGCGAUGUGUUCCCUGACGGUGUGUGUUUUUUUGGGGAUAGACAACGUGGUUCUUGUACGUGGUUUUUACCCUGCUCAAUAAAGUCACGUUUUCCUUACACGGUGUUGUGUC
rnacentral:sRNA from 1 species